rnacentral:rRNA from 1 species
GCUAACGCGUGAAGUUGACCGCCUGGGGAGUACGGUCGCAAGAUUAAAACUCAAAGGAAUUGACGGGGACCCGCACAAGCGGUGGAUGAUGUGGAUUAAUUCGAUGCAACGCGAAAAACCUUACCUACCCUUGACAUGUCCAGAAUCCUGCUGAGAGGUGGGAGUGCCCGAAAGGGAAUUGGAACACAGGUGCUGCAUGGCUGUCGUCAGCUCGUGUCGUGAGAUGUUGGGUUAAGUCCCGCAACGAGCGCAACCCUUAUCAUUAGUUGCUACGCAAGGGCACUCUAAUGAGACUGCCGGUGACAAACCGGAGGAAGGUGGGGAUGACGUCAAGUCCUCAUGGCCCUUAUGGGUAGGGCUUCACACGUCAUACAAUGGUCGGUACAGAGGGUUGCCAAGCCGCGAGGCGGAGCCAAUCCCAGAAAGCCGAUCGUAGUCCGGAUUGUUCUCUGCAACUCGAGAGCAUGAAGUCGGAAUCGCUAGUAAUCGCGGAUCAGCAUGUCGCGGUGAAUACGUUCCCGGGUCUUGUACACACCGCCCGUCAAACCAUGGGAGUGGGUUGCACCCGAAGACGCGUAGUCUCGUCAAUGGGACGCGCGUUUAAGGUGUNNNUCAUGACUGGGGUUAAGUCGUAACAAGGUAACCAAGG